ensembl:snoRNA
UACCUGCGGUGAUCUUAUCCCAAACCUGAACUUCUGUUGAAAAAAACUAUGGAUCUGCCUUCUGAGAU